CCUGUUACAGAUAAUACUGAAUCAGAUGGUAACUGCGAUGUGUUAGCCACAGCAAGGCAGUCGCCAUUGAUGCUCCAAACCGCAAGGGCAGUUCCAGCCGCAGUUACAAUUUCCCCUGUAAGGUCAUUUAUGUAGAUUGCUGAAAUGGGAACUGGGAAGUCAGGAAGCUGCCUCACAAAACUCAUCGAACUGAGAUCCCAUAUUAUAACUGUGCAAUCAUCUGACCCACUUGCAAUCAUCAUGUACGGUUGACUUACACGCAGACAUGUGACUGUAGCUGUGUGAGCACAUAGGGCUUUCUCUAACCGUAAACGUCGUGAACCACGCGGGCCAUCCUUGCUUACUCUCCACACGCACACUAGACCAUCUUCUGCUCCAGUGACCACAAUGCGUCCAUCGUGACUAAAACCAGCACAUUGGAUCUGGUUGCUUUCAUGGAGAUUUUCAUGAGUUGACAGCAGUUUGUCCUGAUCAUAACUCAUAAACCUCAAACUCCUGUCUGGGAAACCCCAUGUUAUGUAUUUGGUAUAGCCUCUGGGUUUCAGGAAGCAGUUAGCCCCGGCAACGAACACCUUGUCGUGGAAAGUAGUGAUUUGGCUUAUAGAAGAUGAACAUUUACGUGUCUCGUGAGGAAUUAGAUGCAUCGAAUGUUUCAGAGGGUGGAGAGGAAUUUUUCGGUCUGUUCUUCUUUUGACAUGAGCUUUCUGGAAUAGCUGCUUCGGAGUUUGCCCAAAAUGAUUAAUCUGCGCUAGUAUGGAAGCUUUCAAUGCGGGGUCGCUAACUGCAUCAAUAUCAACAUUUCCCUCGUACGUGUAAUGAUAGAAGACAUUUACAGCUUCUUCUGCAGCCUGAGAAUAAACAACAUUCCAAUAAAGGAAAAGUAAAUAACAUGGCAAUACUUUUAGUUUCUGCAUUUUACUUGGCUAGAAGCAAAAUGAAAAAUGUACCUUUCCUCUCUGUUUGUACCCAAAGAUGAGAUCUAUCCAGUGAUGCAGAUUUUCUGAGACAUAAUCUGACUCCAACGCUUCUCUGUGCUUGAGGAUGAACUCACGUACACUACCUCUCGCCCACGGAGGUAAAAAGACAUCACCAACCUAAAAUUACGCAGAAGAAAUAAUAUAUAUCAACACUACAUGAAAGGAAAAUGGUACAUUCAAGCACCAUUGAAAGAACUGGAACCGGCACAAACCUUCUCUCCCGACUGUUUUUCACCCAAAUCAAGACUGAAUCUAUUUUCCAAAAACUCUGGCAUGUAGAAGAAUUCAGGAAUGAGUUCUUUUACGUCUGAUGUAUUUCCCUUUCCAGCUGCACUUAGCCAAGUAUCUUUUAUACUAUUGAAGAGUCUAUCAGCAUGAUCAAACUGACCGCCCUGCAGCUUCUGAUUUUCAGCACUGAACGGUGGGAGGCGAAGAAGGUAAAACAGAACAAUUCCAGCACUUGAAUAGUGAGAACCGUAAUGAAAUUUUGGAAUCUCAGGAUCAUCCCAGCUCUCAUAUCUGAAAACAGAGAAAGUAAAGAAUUAUGCCGCAUGAAACCAUAACUACUUAACAAGAAAAAUUAAGAUGUAUGACAAAGAACACAAGGGGAAGGUGCACUAUAAAAAAGUUUAAGAUGCACAGCACAAACCGUUUCCUAAAUUCUUCUUCUCCUUCAGGUGUCUGGCAACCCAUUGGCUUGUGAAGUUUGCGGAAAGUUUUUGGAUCUGACAAAUCAAGACUCUCGCUAUCAUAAUCUGCGAGAACCCAUGGAAAUACCGGAUACUGCGUGAGAUCACUGUAUCCACGUCCUGCUAGGGUAUUGAGAUGCAUUAGGUAAUGGAAAUUGCUGAUUUCCCCAUUUUGCCAUCUUUUCGAGAAUGACUUUGCCAUUAAUCUGAAAAGGCGGCUUCCCUCGUUACUUUCCUGUUUUGCUGAUCCUGAAAUAGUUGUGUCGAGCCUGGGAAAAAAAUAACAGAAUAAAUAACAGUUUUGCAGAUCAAUGAAGACAGAAUCUAGUCUUUGAGAAGUAAGCUUAAAAAAGAACACCCAUCCCAUGCAACUCAUUGUCGUUGACUGAUAAACUUAUUCAUUAACCUAGUGAACAUUGAACUGCUAUAAAAUAUUUAAAAGAAACAACUGCAGUAUGCUCAACCCAGUGCGAGGAACAAACAGAAACGAGAUGAAAAUAACGAUAAUACCGUACAUGCUGUUCCUUGAAAGGUUCAUGGCAACCAGAUUUUUGAAAACUUCUUCCCUCUCUUUCUUGUGGAACACGAGGAGAUCAUUACAUCCAUCCAUGCUAAAUAUCUCAAUGGCAACCGGACGCAGCUGGUAAUCACGUUUUAAUAUUUCAUGAACAUUAUUAAGCUUCCACAUACGCCAAGGAUGCGGCAAGUUACCAGUCGUGCCCAUUUUUUCUUUUCCCCAAGCACCCCCACCAUAUGCCCAUGCUCUUCCGCCUACUGCUCUUCCCCCUAGAGCUCCCGUUUUCACUGCUGUCGUCCAAGAUGUGCUAGACUUGGACUGGAAAUCCAGGCUGCCGGAGGCAUCUUUUUUCACACCCAACGCUUGAUCAAUAACAGAUAACUCAUCUUCGCAUUCCUUCUCACAAAUACACCCAUCAUCGUCAAUAUAAAAGUUUUCUAUCACAUACAGACAGAACUCCCCUAUUAAGAAGAUUCCAUCAUGCUUGUCGAGAUCAACAACUCUCUCGCAGUUGUAUCUGAACCUAAUCUUUUCAAGAUGCUCCAGAUAAGGCCUGAUCAGAUACUCACCAUCAUCAUUCAGUUCCUUCUCUGAUUUUUCCUCCUCGCCUUUAGUUUCAUCCAUUUUAGCAGAAGAUGAAUGUCUUGGAGAGCCAGCCUCAGAUUUUGCAAGUGUGUUGUCUGUUAUUGGCACAGAUGCUGUACUAGAUUUGCCACCAAAGUCAAGAGCAGAAUGAAGACUUGCUUCGUUUGUACUACUAGCUCUAUCAUCAUUCCAUCCAUUUCUGGCAGAAGCGACAUCUUUAAAAUCAUCUGACUCUUUCACAAACGCCUCAUCAUAAAGUUCACUGAGCAGGAAAGCUGGUUCGGAAUCUGUGUCUGAAAUAACUGGCCCAUCUUCAUUUUUCACUUUGGUUCCCCGGUAAGGUCAUUUAUGUAGAUUGCUGAAAUGGGAACUGGGAAGUCAGGAAGCUGCCUCACAAAACUCAUCGAACUGAGAUCCCAUAUUAUAACUGUGCAAUCAUCUGACCCACUUGCGAUCAUCAUGUACGGUUGACUUACACGUAGACAUGUGACUGUAGCUGUGUGAGCACACAGGGCUUUUUCUAACCGUAAACGUCGUGAACUACGCGGGCCAUCCUUGCUUACUCUCCACACGCACACUAAACCAUCUUCUGCUCCAGUGACCACAAUGCGUCCAUCGUGACUAAAACCAGCACACUGGAUCUGGUUGCUUUCAUGGAGAUUUUCGUGAGUUGAUAGCAGUUUGUCCUGAUCAUAACUCAUAAAUCUCAAACUCCUGUCUGGGAACCCCCAUGUUAUGUAUUUGGUAUAGCCUCUGGGUUUCAGGAAGCAGUUAGCCCCGGCAACGAGCACCUUGUCGUGGAAAGUAGUGAUUUGGCUUAUAGAAGAUGGACAUUUACGUGUCUCGUGAGGAAUUAGAUGCAUCGAAUGUUUCAGAGGGUGGAGAGGAACUUUUCGGUCUGUUCUUCUUUUGACAUGAGCUUUCUGGAAUAGCUGCUUCGGAGUUUGUCCAAAAUGAUUAAUCUGCGCUAGUAUGGAAGCUUUCAAUGCGGGGUCGCUAACUGCAUCAAUAUCAACAUUUCCCUCGUACGUGUAAUGAUAGAAAACAUUUACAGCUUCUUCUGCAGC
rnacentral:lncRNA from 1 species